rnacentral:lncRNA from 1 species
AUUAAAACCUUCAUAUUGGUUAUCUCUGGAGAGUUGGAUUCUGAACGAUUUUGAUUUUUUCCUAUUUAUGUUUUCCUGUAUCUUUAUGUUUUCUACAACAAAUGUGUCACUUUCAUAAUCAGAGAAUAUUGACAUUAUAUAAGUGGAGAACUCUUUGACAAGAAAUAAAACAUGGCCCUACACAGGUGUCAGUGUAUAAAUUACUUAAUAUAGUUUUAGAAUCUUCCACAUUCUUUCCUGUUUUUUUUUUUUAGGAAGAUUAGCCCUGAGCUAACUGCUGCCAAUCCUCCUCUUUUUGCUGAGGAAGACUGGCCCUGAGCUAACAUCUGUGCCCAUCUUCCUCUACUUUACGUGUGGGACGCCUGCCGCAGCAUGGCUUGUCAAGUGGUGCCAUGUCCCCACCCGGAACCCGAACUGGCGAACCCUGGGCUGCUGAGAAGCAGAACGUGGGCACUUAACUGCUGCGCCACCGGGCUGGCCUGAGAAUCUUUCACAUUCUGAGAGAACUAUGAAAGAAGAUUGAGGACUGGAAAUAGAAUUGUUUAGAUAUAAAUCUGCAUUUACGCCCAAUUCUUUCUCUUCGAUUACUACAAAAUUUCCUGAUCAUUCACUCUUUCUGUCAUUUCCCAGCUCCAGAAAUGAAGUCUACAGCCAGCGGUUGGCCUUCUGUGCACCUGCCCAGCCAGAAGAACCUAGAGAGGGCAGAGGAACUGUCUUCCUCCCUCACAGUUUGGCAACUUGGAUGGGAUAAAAUUUCACUGGCUGGACACUACUCGCUCCUGGACUGCUGCAGCUGAGAGAUCAUGGAACCCUGACAAGAGCCAGCUGGAGGUAAGAGAUCUUACCAUGCCAGUCUCCCAGAUCUCUGCCUGCAGGGUCCGAUGGAAGUGAGAGUGGUGAGUUUUUUUCCUUUUCUAAAUUUAGAUUAGCAGGAGAAAAUAUUGGUGAAGCUAGCUUCUUGGACUCAGCAACUCUAGGAUUUGGUUUGAGCACUCAUUGGUUAAUUUAUCCUUUUCCUCCCAGAGAUAGUGACUAUUUUCCCUUGUCUCUGUCUCUUUUUUGGUCAUUUGUCCUGAAAAGGAAAAAUCGUGAGGCAAGAAGUAGGCAUCUAUAAGCUUGUUGUCUGGGAAUGUAUGCAUGAGGUAGAAGCUGUUGCUAGGGUCCUCUUGGAAGCCAAAAAAGCUACAGAUUUGGUGGGCAUGGGUUGAGCAGUUAGGAGCUAUCAGGGUGCUCACCACCUCAAAAAGUCUCUAGUGAGUUGGUCACAGAACCGGGUAGAUGACACAGAUCUCCUGCCAACUUCCAGAAAGUAUCUGUGCAACAAUGAGGUGCUCUGUAAAACCACACACAGUCCCCAACCCUGUGCUGCCUAGGUACUAAUUUGCCU